UGGGGAAUAUUGCACAAUGGGCGCAAGCCUGAUGCAGCCAUGCCGCGUGUGUGAAGAAGGCCUUCGGGUUGUAAAGCACUUUCAGCGGGGAGGAAGGCGAUAAGGUUAAUAACCUUGUCGAUUGACGUUACCCGCAGAAGAAGCACCGGCUAACUCCGUGCCAGCAGCCGCGGUAAUACGGAGGGUGCAAGCGUUAAUCGGAAUUACUGGGCGUAAAGCGCACGCAGGCGGUCUGUCAAGUCGGAUGUGAAAUCCCCGGGCUUAACCUGGGAACUGCAUUCGAAACUGGCAGGCUAGAGUCUUGUAGAGAGGGGUAGAAUUCCAGGUGUAGCGGUGAAAUGCGUAGAGAUCUGGAGGAAUACCGGUCGCGAAGGCGGCCCCCUGGACAAAGACUGACGCUCAGGUGCGAAAGCGUGGGGAGCAAACAGG
rnacentral:rRNA from 1 species